AGGUGGCUCAGUUGGCUAGAGCGUCCCGACGGAUGUCGGGAAGGUCAUCGGUUCGAAUCCGAUAUUUUCCA
rnacentral:tRNA from 1 species